UGUGCGAUUGUAGUCUCUCUCUCUCUCUCUCUCUCUCUCUCUCUCUCUCUCUCUCUCUCUCUCUCUCUCUCUCUCUCUCUCUCUCAUGCAAAAAAUAAUUAAAGUUUGAAGUCACCUUAAUAAACUGCCUUGCGCAGUUUAUUAAGGUUAUUAAGGUUAUUGUAUGAGAAUAGACAAGCCAAAAGUUUUAAAUUUCAAAAGUAAACACCACUACAUAUAUUAUCGGUAUUUUUUUUUUUUACUGGUAUUAUGACUUAUACCGGGAAGAGGCGGGGUGGUAUUAUUAUUUAAGAAAACCGGUAUUUCCGUCGGAACCAUACAUCCCUCGUCACCACAACCACCACAACCACCCCUCCGGUCACCACAACCACCACAACCACCACCACAACCACCCCUCCGGUCACCACAACCACAUCAAAAACACGUAUAAUUUCAAUGUAUACUUAAGUACUCUGACGUGGUGAUGUUGACCUCGAAGUACUGCCGGAGGUCAUUGAAGUCUCACAAGCUCCUUCCUUUGUAUAGUGACACGCUGGUUACGCUGGGGUGGAGGCGAGGUCACUUGUAACAUGCAGCAGAGGCCGGGGUUCGAACCGGGGCCGGGCGGCUACGGGGCUUGUAGGUGAGGGCGGGGUUCGAACCGGGGCCAACAGUUACGUGGGCGGCUACGGGGCUUGUAGGUGAGGGCGGGGUUCGAACCGGGGCCAACAGUUACGUGGGCGGCUACGGGGCUUGUAGGUGAGGGCGGGAUUCGAACCGGGGCCAACAGUUACGUGGGCGGCUACGGGGCUUGUAGGUGAGGGCGGGAUUCGAACCGGGGCCAACAGUUACGUGGGCGGCUACGGGGCUUGUAGGUGAGGGCGGGAUUCGAACCGGGUCCAGCAGUUACGUGGGCGGCUACGGGGCUUGUAGGUGAGGGCGGGGUUCGAAACGGGGCCAACAGUUACGUGGGCGGCUACGGGGCUUGUAGGUGAGGGCGGGAUUCGAACCGGGGACAACAGUUACGUGGGCGGCUACGGGGCUUGUAGAUGAGGGCGGGAUUCGAACCGGGGACAACAGUUACGUGGGCGGGGGCGGCGCUUGUUAAGACUCCCCGCCGAUAUAACACACUUCUAACAUGCAGCAGAGGGCGGGUAUCGAACUGGGACCCGGAAGAUACAUAGUCGGGGGCCGUAACACAAACACUUGACCUACGGUGCAUGGGAAUCGAACCCAGACCAGCAGAUUCAGGGGCAGCGGGUGUUGGCGAAGAGGUCCCGCGGCCACCACUGAACAGCGGCCUGACGGAGACUGUUACCGAACGAGGUGGAGGUUUGUGUUAAACUGAGGUACUGGUGAAGAGCUCCCGCGAUCAACACACUGAACAGCGGCCUGACGGAGACUGUUACCGAACGAGGUGGAGGUUUGUGUUAAACUGAGGUACUGGUGAAGAGCUCCCGCGAUCAACACACUGAACAGCGGCCUGACGGAGACUGUUACCGAACGAGGUGGAGGUUUGUGUUAAACUGAGGUACUGGUGAAGAGCUCCCGCGAUCAACACACUGAACAGCGGCCUGACGGAGACUGUUACCGAACGAGGUGGAGGUUUGUGUUAAACUGAGGUACUGGUGAAGAGCUCCCGCGGCCAACACUGAACAGCGGCUUGACGGAGACUACUGCCGGACGACGUGGAGGUUUGUGCUACACUGAGGUACUGGGUUUAAGAGAGGAAGGGCGCGCGCUCGCCCCGCCCACUUACUACUCUUUGUGGGUGAAUGAUAGUUGGAGAUAGUUGUUCCGAGUACCUAGUUCGCUUGUUGGCCUAUUGGAGAGGGCGGAGCAGGGCUAUUGUUAAGGGUCGUGUGUGUGUGUGUGUGUGUGUGUGUGCGUGUUAACGGGCACUUUGAAUGACGUGUAAGCCCAGGGUGUGGCGUCAUGAGACAUCCGGGUAUCAUGAGACAUCCCAUAUCCUGAAGACAUACCCGAAUUUCGACAAGGUACCGUGUCUUUUGUCGUCUGCUUGUCGGAAUCUGUCCCAGCCAAGUUUAUUUAUUUUAUUAUGAAAGCAAAUGAUGACGUGUG